GUUAAUUCUUGUAAUGACCUGCACAUAAUUCAACAAAAUAUCAAAUUGCGAUGACAUUUUUGAAAAUGCCAACAAAAAUAUCCCACUUAUGAGCCAUUUCCAAAUUUUGGCAUAAUCUCAAUAAAUUUCAACUGCAUUCUCAAUUCUCAGUGUGCACAUGAACCACUAUUCUACUUCAUUGCUGCAUGGUGCUUCUGCCUUGACAAGUUCAAUAAAAGAACACCUUGAGGAACAAAGAGGUCAGUAAAACUUCAGUUUUAAAAUAACAUGUCAUGGUGGAAAUUGUUUGCCAAGGGGAAACAAAUAUUAUUGCCUAACUACAAUAAAUGAAAUCUGUCUCAUUCUCAUCUUUGGAGUUUGGAGCAAAAAGGACUCUGCAGAUGAUGAAAAAAAGAAUUCAAAUGAUAUAGAGUCUCUCUAGUUGCCAAAAGUGAAACUGGUAAACAUCCUUAUUUUCUCAACUAGAGAGACUCU
rnacentral:misc_RNA from 1 species